rnacentral:rRNA from 1 species
UACGUAGGGUGCAAGCGUUGUCCGGAAUUAUUGGGCGUAAAGAGCUCGUAGGCGGUUUGUCGCGUCUGCUGUGAAAACUCGGGGCUUAACCCCGGGCCUGCAGUGGGUACGGGCAGACUAGAGUGAGGUAGGGGAGACUGGAAUUCCUGGUGUAGCGGUGAAAUGCGCAGAUAUCGGGAGGAACACCAGUGGCGAAGGCGGCUACCUGGCCCAUUCUUGACGCUGAGGCGCGAAAGCUAGGGGAGCAAACGGG